CGCGGCCUAUCAGCUUGUUGGUGUGGUAAUGGCGCACCAAGGCAACGAUGGGUAGCUGGUCUGAGAGGAUGGUCAGCCACAUUGGGACUGAGACACUGCCCAAACUCCUACGGGAGGCUGCAGUCGAGAAUAUUUCGCAAUGGGGGAAACCCUGACGAUGCGACGCCGCGUGGGGGAUGAAGGCCCUCGGGUCGUAAACCUCUGUGUUACGGGAUGAAUUGAGCGUUGCUGAUAACGCAGCGUUUUUGACGUUACCGUAGUAGAAAGCCCCAGCUAACUACGUGCCAGCAGCUGCGGUAAUACGUAGGGGGCAAGCGUUGUCCGGAAUCACUGGGCGUAAAGCGCGCGCAGGCGGUGGAGUAAGUCAGACGUGAAAGGGUUCGGCUCAACCGAACCAUUGCGUUUGAUACUGCCUCACUUGAGUCUAGAAGAGGAAAGUGGAAUGUAUGGUGUAGCGGUGGAAUGCUUAGAUAUCAUAUAGAACACCCGUGGCGAAGGCGGCUUUCUGGUCUAAGACUGACGCUCAUGCGCGAAAGUUUGGGGAGCAACCGGGAUUAGAUACCCCGCUAGUCCUUACUGUAAACGAUGGGUACUAAGUGUAGGGGGUGUUGAUUCCCUCUGUGCUGUAGCUAACGCAUUAAGUACCCCGCCUGGGGAGUACGG
rnacentral:rRNA from 1 species